UACGUAGGGUGCAAGCGUUAAUCGGAAUUACUGGGCGUAAAGCGUACGCAGGCGGCUUUGCAAGACAGGUGUGAAAUCCCCGGGCCUAACCUGGGAACUGCAUUUGUGACUGUAUGGCUAGAGUUUGUCAGAGGGGGGUGGAAUUCCACGUGUAGCAGUGAAAUGCGUAGAUAUGUGGAGGAACACCGAUGGCGAAGGCAGCCCCCUGGGAUGUGACUGACGCUCAUGUACGAAAGCGUGGGGAGCAAACAGG
rnacentral:rRNA from 1 species